ACGGGGCAGGGCAAACGCCGACCCCGCCGUCCCGAGGGCUUCCCCCGUCCCGCCGGGGCAGGCGCCUCACCUGGUGCUCCUCCAGCUCCUCUACCAGUACCUGGGGACAGAGGGACACACAGACACACAGACACACACAAAGGACGGUCCGGACUGCAGGAACCGUGCGAUCAGGUAGUAGAGCUCUGCGGAGAGGCGGGGGAGAGCGGGUUAGACACGAAAUGCCAAAUCCAGCUGUGGAUGGAACGCCCAGGAAAAGGGGUGGCUCUGUGUCCCUGUGUGCUCUGGACUCUUCCAGCAGAAGGACUGGGAGAAUGGUAUCAGUGUCAGGUCCAUCCCCAGCACCUCUGAAUUCCAACUUUGUGCCUCUAAGUGCCUGGAACCCCCAAGUUCUAUAGCAGCAGAUGACUACUGGGUGUAAGUGACCAGGGCUCUGCAUUUUUGGCUUCUCUGGAGGCCUGGGCACAAAGCAUCUGACUGCAGCUGGGAAUUCAUCACCUCUCUCCCUGAACAUGCAAAUUUUACUGGAACUCCCUCAGCUAAUUUGCUGAAUUCUUGCCCUGUUACCAGCUGCUGAUGCAGAUGAAACCAGAAAAAGUGGAUUAAAAGGAAUGAGGUUAUGAAGCAUGAAAAAAUACUCCAAAACAACUGUGGAGGAGGGAAGAGGAGUUUCUACUCUGACCCCGGAGCCGGCACAAAAUGGAACCAUGACUUGGGGAAAUACUUCUGGUCAGCACCUCUGUGAUGAUGGAUUUAUAUGAAGGAAGAAACCAAACCAAGCAAAAUUGCAGCCCGCUGGAAAGCUGAGGCUCAGCCUGAGGCUUAGGGACAGCCCACCUCCAACUCCAGCCAUACUCUGAGGGGAGCAGCAGCCCUGAAUCCAUGAAACAGCAAAACUCGUUUGUGGUCCUACAAAGCAGCCUCUGGAGCCAGGGUGAAACCCGAGAGCUGCUGCAAUCCAAACCUUCUCCACAGCUCCUUUUAUCUUCCUGGGGGGAAAACAAACAGCGCAGAAGCCGAGCUUUGAGCUUUGUGGCUGGGAUGUCGCACAUCUGGUUUGAGCUCCAAGAAAUGCACUUCCACACCCCCCCUUCCCCCC